AGCAUUUUCUUUCUCUCUCCAAAACAAAACAAGUUAUAAAUUUCUCUCUCCAAAACUCAAAAUUGAUUUUCAAACCAAAUCGAGCUCCAAAUUUCUCUCUCUCCAAAACCCAAAAUCGAUCUUCAGACCAAAUCGGCAUCUAUUUCACCUAUUUCAUUCCAAAUCACUAUUCACCUAUUUCACGAUUCGGCAUCUAGGUUGAACAAAUUGGCACUUGACAUCUCCUAUUUCAGUACAAAUCGACUUCGACUCGGAUCAAAACCUUGAUUUCGGCUUCGGUUCGGUAAGGGUUUAACUAUUUUCCUCCAUUACAAUUAUAUUUCUAAGUUUUUGUUUUGGUCUGUUUUGGUCUGACUUUGAUGACACCAUCUCUAGCGGUCCAAUUUCCAUUGUUUCAGGGUAAAAUUAGAUUCUUACAUAUGUGACUAUAGAGUUUGAUAUUGUUCCCAUUAAUGGAUAUCGGGGGUGUCCCUGGUUGGUUCAUCUUUGCUGGUGAAUAUACAACCACUUUAGUAAUAAUUCUAUCGUUUGUACAUUUUUAUAAUUUUAUUGAUUGAUAGCCAAUUGUACAAGAUUUACAUAAUUACCUUUUCAAUGUGUUUAAAUGAUAGUUUAUUGGUGCAAAUUUCUUGGACUAUUCCUCUAAAUCUUUUGCUUGAAAAACUUUGUUGGUCGUCUAAAUUUGUGGUUUCCUUUUACUUGAAACAUUUAGUUAAUGAGCUACGUUCAGCAUGUUACGAAUUAAACAAAUGUUUCUAAUAAUGUAUCAGCCUGUAUUUUUUGUCAAUGAAAUGUUUUCCUUCUUGGUUUUGUUUCUUUGCAGAGGCACCCAUUGCCACAACCCUUUGCACUGAGUAAACCCGAUCCCCAAAGUGCCUAUAUGGAGUUUGAUUAUUCGAACUUUUUUAUGUUGCUUUUAUUCAAAUAUCUAGGCUCAUAGUUAUCCCAGAUGGCAGCCUUUGACUUGGAUAAAAAGGACAAGUUUGCUAAGAAUACACAACACUUUACUAUGAAUAGGUGGCUCACCUAAAUGAAAAGACAGUGAGCCUGUAAUACCCAUGAACACUACAACAAAUUGGCUUAUCAGCGACCGCAUAUGGUCGCAGAUGAGUAUUAGCAACCGACUGCGGUCGCUAAUAUUAGUCACAGGUAAUCUGGUCGCUAAAUGGACAUCAACGACCAAUAAUAGCGACCGAAUUAUUAGCGAUCACCAUCAGCGACCGACUCCGUCGCUAAUCUGACUCACGCUGAGUCAGUUGUCAGGAAUGACGUAGUACACGUGACA
rnacentral:lncRNA from 1 species